rnacentral:tRNA from 1 species
CACUUUUAAAGGAUACGAGCCUAAUCCAUUGGCCUUAGAGCCAAAACCUUGGUG